AUUAGGCCCAUUGACGGGCUUUGCCAUGAACCCUGCGCGUGAU
rnacentral:sRNA from 1 species